rnacentral:tRNA from 1 species
GCCGGGGUGGCGGAAUUGGUAGACGCAGUGGCCUUAGGAGCCACCGUCCUUUGGACGUGCAGGUUCGAGUCCUGUCCCCGGUACCA